UACGUAGGGGGCAAGCGUUGUCCGGAAUCAUUGGGCGUAAAGAGCGCGUAGGCGGCCCUGUAAGUCCGCUGUGAAAGUCAAGGGCUCAACCCUUGGAUGCCGGUGGAUACUGCAGGGCUAGAGUCCGGAAGAGGCGAGUGGAAUUCCUGGUGUAGCGGUGAAAUGCGCAGAUAUCAGGAGGAACACCGAUGGCGAAGGCAGCUCGCUGGGACGGUACUGACGCUGAGGCGCCGAAAGCGUGGGGAGCAA
rnacentral:rRNA from 1 species